CCCUUAGAUGUUCUGGGCUGCACGCGCGCUACACUGAAGCUAUCAACACGUUUUCCCUCCCUGAGAAGGGCGGGUAACCUUUUGAAUCAGCUUCGUGGUAGGGAUCGGGGCUUGCAAUUGUUCCCCGUGAACCAGGAAUUCCUAGUAGACGCGAGUCAUAAGCUCGCAUCGAUUAAGUCCCUGCCCUUUGUACACACCGCCCGUCGCUACUACCGAUUGAACGUUUUAGUGAGGCAUUUGGACCGACGCAUCUCAGUUUAACCGCUGGUUUGUGUUGGAAAGACUUCCAAACUUGAGCGUUUAGAGGAAGUAAAAGUCGUAGCA
rnacentral:rRNA from 1 species